UGGUUCUGAAUGGAAGGGCCAUCGCUCAACGGAUAAAAGGUACUCCGGGGAUAACAGGCUGAUACCGCCCAAGAGUUCAUAUCGACGGCGGUGUUUGGCACCUCGAUGUCGGCUCAUCACAUCCUGGGGCUGAAGUAGGUCCCAAGGGUAUGGCUGUUCGCCAUUUAAAGUGGUACGCGAGCUGGGUUUAGAACGUCGUGAGACAGUUCGGUCCCUAUCUGCCGUGGGCGCUGGAGAACUGAGGGGGGCUGCUCCUAGUACGAGAGGACCGGAGUGGACGCAUCACUGGUGUUCGGGUUGUCAUGCCAAUGGCACUGCCCGGUAGCUAAAUGCGGAAGAGAUAAGUGCUGAAAGCAUCUAAGCACGAAACUUGCCCCGAGAUGAGUUCUCCCUGACCCUUUAA
rnacentral:rRNA from 1 species